rnacentral:rRNA from 1 species
ACACAUGCAAGUCGAGGGGCAGCAUGGUCUUUGCUUGCUAAGGCCGAUGGCGACCGGCGCACGGGUGAGUAACACGUAUCCAACCUGCCGUCUACUCUUGGACAGCCUUCUGAAAGGAAGAUUAAUACAAGAUGGCAUCAUGAGUCCGCAUGUUCACAUGAUUAAAGGUAUUCCGGUAGACGAUGGGGAUGCGUUCCAUUAGAUAGUAGGCGGGGUAACGGCCCACCUAGUCUUCGAUGGAUAGGGGUUCUGAGAGGAAGGUCCCCCACAUUGGAACUGAGACACGGUCCAAACUCCUACGGGAGGCAGCAGUGAGGAAUAUUGGUCAAUGGACGAGAGUCUGAACCAGCCAAGUAGCGUGAAGGAUGACUGCCCUAUGGGUUGUAAACUUCUUUUAUACGGGAAUAAAGUGAGCCACGUGUGGCUUUUUGUAUGUACCGUAUGAGUAAGGAUCGGCUAACUCCGUGCCAGCAGCCGCGGUAAUACGGAGGAUCCGAGCGUUAUCCGGAUUUAUUGGGUUUAAAGGGAGCGUAGGCGGGUUGUUAAGUCAGUUGUGAAAGUUUGCGGCUCAACCGUAAAAUUGCAGUUGAUACUGGCGACCUUGAGUGCAACAGAGGUAGGCGGAAUUCGUGGUGUAGCGGUGAAAUGCUUAGAUAUCACGAAGAACUCCGAUUGCGAAGGCAGCUUACUGGAUUGUAACUGACGCUGAUGCUCGAAAGUGUGGGUAUCAAACAGGAUUAGAUACCCUGGUAGUCCACACAGUAAACGAUGAAUACUCGCUGUUGGCGAUAUACGGUCAGCGGCCAAGCGAAAGCAUUAAGUAUUCCACCUGGGGAGUACGCCGGCAACGGUGAAACUCAAAGGAAUUGACGGGGGCCCGCACAAGCGGAGGAACAUGUGGUUUAAUUCGAUGAUACGCGAGGAACCUUACCCGGGCUUAAAUUGCAGAUGAAUUACGGUGAAAGCCGUAAGCCGCAAGGCAUCUGUGAAGGUGCUGCAUGGUUGUCGUCAGCUCGUGCCGUGAGGUGUCGGCUUAAGUGCCAUAACGAGCGCAACCCUUGUUGUCAGUUACUAACAGGUUCCGCUGAGGACUCUGACAAGACUGCCAUCGUAAGAUGUGAGGAAGGUGGGGAUGACGUCAAAUCAGCACGGCCCUUACGUCCGGGGCUACACACGUGUUACAAUGGGGGGUACAGAGGGCCGCUACCACGCGAGUGGAUGCCAAUCCCCAAAACCUCUCUCAGUUCGGACUGGAGUCUGCAACCCGACUCCACGAAGCUGGAUUCGCUAGUAAUCGCGCAUCAGCCACAGCGCGGUGAAUACGUUCCCGGGCCUUGUACACACCGCCCGUCAAGCCAUGGGAGCCGGGGGUACCUGAAGUGCGUAACCGCGAGGAGCGCCCUAGGGUAAAACUGGUGACUGGGGCUAAAUC